rnacentral:rRNA from 1 species
UACGUAGGUGGCAAGCGUUGUUCGGAAUUAUUGGGCGUAAAGAGCUCGUAGGCGGUUUCGUUAGUCGGGUGUGAAAACCCCAGGCUCAACCUGGGGACGCCACCCGAUACUGCGAUGACUAGAGUCCGGUAGGGGAGUGUGGAAUUCCUGGUGUAGCGGUGAAAUGCGCAGAUAUCAGGAGGAACACCAACGGCGAAGGCAGCACUCUGGGCCGGAACUGACGCUGAGGAGCGAAAGCGUGGGGAGCGAACAGG